rnacentral:tRNA from 1 species
GUCAGGAUGGCCGAGCGGUCUAAGGCGCCAGACUCAAGCGAACAGCUUGCCGAUACAUAUCGGUUACUAAGUAUUCUGGUCUUCGAUAGAAGGCGUGGGUUCAAAUCCCACUUCUGACA